rnacentral:rRNA from 1 species
UACGUAGGGGGCAAGCGUUGUCCGGAAUUAUUGGGCGUAAAGGGCUCGUAGGUGGCCAACUAAGUCAUACGUGAAAUCCCUCGGCUUAACCGGGGAACUGCGUCUGAUACUGGAUGGCUUGAGGUUGGGAGAGGGAUGCGGAAUUCCAGGUGUAGCGGUGAAAUGCGUAGAUAUCUGGAGGAACACCGGUGGCGAAGGCGGCAUCCUGGACCAAUUCUGACACUGAGGAGCGAAAGCCAGGGGAGCAAACGGG